GUGCAUGAUUUUAUUAAGCAAAAAAUGAGGAUUAGAAAACUACACACAUCUCCCUUUGUGCCCUACUCAAAGGUUGGGUAUUUAAAGUUUUAAGGCCAAGUACAUGCACUCACAAGGAUAACUCCCUAAUACUUAAAUAUCAAGGCCACUAAGGCUAUGGCUCUAUCCACUGCAUCUCCACAACAGUUAGAGUAAUCAACUAGGUGUGGGGACACAAAUGAAAAGAACAGACUCUGGCUGGAGUUCUCACGAUAGCCAGACAGGAAGUACAUCCCAGAGUGACACCGCUACAUAACUCCUCUAAUUCUAAGUUGCGCUCAGACCCGGGUAUAGGGCCCCACUCAUGAUAUGCAUGAUAUAUGUGUGAAGGGAGAAUAUGAAACAUAUUUAGAACAACAUCAAUAAACUGACCAGAAUAUCAUAAACAAUUAUUUCAAAUGCAAGGAACGAGCAAAACAACUCACAUACAAUUAUUCUAGACAUCAAACAUAGAUAAAGUAAAAAGGAAGAAAAAACAUAAAGUAAAACCACAUCGAAUUUGCACAUUUAAUUAAAUAGCUUGACUCUCUAGCAGGUCCCCAGCGGAGUCGCC
rnacentral:lncRNA from 1 species